GACGAACGCUGGCGGCGUGCUUAACACAUGCAAGUCGAACGGGUCUGCCCUGUUUUUUGCGGGGUGGGUCAGUGGCGAACGGGUGUGUAACACGUGAGUAACCUGCCCCUCACUUCUGGAUAACCGCUUGAAAGGGUGGCUAAUACGGGGUGUUCUGGCUGUGCCGCAUGGUGUGGCUGGGAAAGAUUCACUUUUGUGGUGUUUUGGUGGGGGAUGGGCUCGCGGCCUAUCAGCUUGUUGGUGGGGUGAUGGCCUGCCAAGGCUUUGACGGGUAGCCGGCCUGAGAGGGUGGGCGGUCACACUGGGACUGAGAUACGGCCCAGACUCCUGCGGGAGGCAGCAGUGGGGGGUAUUGCACAAUGGGCGGAAGCCUGAUGCAGCGACGUCGCGUGAGGGAUGGAGGCCUUCGGGUUGUGAACCUCUUUCGCCGGUGAAGAAGGUCCUGCUCUUUGUGGUGGGGUUGACGGUAGCCGGGUUAUGAAGCGCCGGCUAACUACGUG
rnacentral:rRNA from 1 species